AAACUGGGGAGAAGGGCAAGGUUAAGUCCGACGCAUUUUCAGAUCCGCCACCAUUUACCUUAGGACCUGGAGAAAAGACUGUUUCAGUUAGCUAGCUUGAAGGCCUGCUUGGGAAGCAAGAUAGACAAGGAUUUUUUUUCCCCAUCCUCUAGCCUCACGCCUUAUUUUUCUUUCACAAUUCUGGCCAAAGAAAGCAGUCACUCAUAAUCAGAAGAGAAUUUAUCAUGAAGUUAAUUAAGCUGUGUACCUAAUUUUGUAUCUGUCAUCGUGUAUUCUUAAAAGAAGACUCCGACAUUGUAUAAGUUCUGGAUCUGAACAAAACCUGGAUAAACUCUGGUGCUUUAUUAACUUGAUGAAGAUUAGUGACACUGAGGAAUACUGAGGAACCAGGCUCUAUUCCACCCCAUCCCCUUCAUACACACCUCAUUCCAAAUGCUAUCCUGUCACAGCAGAUGCCACAUCACUUUUGGGGUGGGCUAAGAGAUCAAGAUACACCUACAUUACCAUUUCAAGAGCAACUCAUGGAAGCAUCAGUCCUUUUCAUCUGUCAUUUUACAAGUAGGAAAACUUCAGCUUCUCAAGUGCGCUGGUUCUGUGAUCGACUUCUCACAGUCUUGAAGAAAACACUGGAAAUUUUUAUGUGUUGGAAUAUGGAGCUCCAGCAGGUACUUGGACCAUGAGUUAACCUUGAGGGUGGAAGACAUUCACAAUGAAACAGUAAAAUAGAAGAACCCCGAGCUCCAGAGAGCCCUAGCAACCCUAGACUGAUUACCUCUAGAUUACUUAGAGCUCAGUCUAUUGUGUCUGACUCCAAAGCCAGUGAUCACUCCAUCUCAUCCUGCUAUCCAGAGACUGCCUUUCAGGACAGACCCAGCCCAGAGCUGUGGACCCCUGACUCUGUUACCAGUGAACUCCCUAGUACAGCUAUCCCUUCCUUUGGAUGUAAUUCUCUUUCUUUGAUCUACGUGCAUGAUCUCAAUACAGUCUAGAAUAUUUUAAGCCAUUAAAGGUGAUACAGAGCUUUAACCAAAAUGUCAGUGUUAUGACACAGUGGUUCUGAGACUAUUAGCUUCAAUAUGGCCAAAUGAGAGAGUCUGACUUAUUUUCCAUUUGUGCUAAAAGUAAACUUAGGUAAUAAGUGGGGGUAUUUUUAUUUUAUUAUUCUAUCUUUUUACUUUCUAUUAGGGAAAUUUUCAAACAUAUUCAAAAGUAGGGAAAAUCAUAUAAUGGACUUCUUUGUAUGUAUCACUCAGCAUCAAUACUUAUCAAGUUGGUCCAUUUCUCCAUCAUCCGGGAAAGACAUUAGUGUUGAUGCUGACAUCCCUAUCAAGGACAAUAACUACCAUGGCUCUCAGUGCCUUGGUAUAACCUGGGAUGUGUGGCCUUCUGGCCAAGCAUCUGUCAUUUCAUAUUGUUGGAGCAUUCCUUAUAACCCUGGGGUUGCAGCUCUCUGUAAGUUUGCUGUGGCCUGACCAAGAAAGAAGGCAUAUGCAGAUUUCUACAGAAAUUAUAAUUGAAUUAAAGAAUUUGAGAUGAGGAAGGCUAAUAUCUCUCAGAGUACAAAGUGAUUUUGGAACAUAAAGUAUUUCUUUGGGUUGAAUUACAUAGAAGUUUGUCACUGUACCUGUGUUCCUGAACUAUCUGUGAAACAUGAAUAUGUGGGCUAAGAAAUUGUUUAUCUUAAUAAAUAAUUAACAAACACUUUGAACGGU